AAAGUUGUGCAUUAUGAGGAGAUCUAUCAAAUGAUAUGCAUACUGUGUUGAUAUGUGAAACACCACGUGAUUACAGAGCCAUAAAACUUGUUAGCGCCAACUAGUGGCCGAUUUCUUUCAAAAUUCUUACAGACCUUAAGGUUCAUGAGUCGAACGUACCCAGCGAGUUUCGUUCCGAUCAACAUCCGUUAACCCUUUCAAAUAGGUGCUUAAAUUUGUUUGGCCAAUGACGGCCAUGUUUUUUGAGAUAUGCAAAUGUCCUCAUAAGUACUUGUGCCCCUUCAGACCAAGACACUGCAUACCGAUUUUCAAGUUGAUCGAGCCAACGGUUGCCUAGUUAUAGCAAUUUAUGUGUUUUUUCUAUCUUAUAGCGCCCCCAAGUGGCAGAGAUGCGCAAUUUUUUUGAUUUGACCAAAGAUUGAGCUCAUACAUAUGUGUACCGAGUUUGGUGAAGAUAUCUCAUUCCGUUCAAGAGUUAUAGUCAAAAUAGUAUUUGGCUAACGUUAGCAUAGACGCUUUUUGGCGUACUGUUUCGCGUAAGAAUUUAAAUUUCAACUUUUUUUUAAUAAUUAUUGAUAUUGAGUGUCCAGGGAAUAUUUAUGAAGUGGUUUGGUUCUGAUUGGUUGAAAAUCCUAGGACUAGUUCGCAAAAGUAGGUUUCGGAUAUAGCUCGAUUUUGCGAGAAAACGGUGCGUCGUAGACCCCAAAAAGGCGCCGUGCACUUUUGUUCGGGCUAACCCAAGGAUUGCAACAAUGCCAUGUUUUUGAGUCUACGGCUAACGGUAUACGAUUUACGGCCAAAAAUGUCCAAAAUUUUUGCUUUUUGCGCUGUAGCGCCCCCGUUAGGCCGAUUGGGCUGAGACUUUGAUAAGUUCUCCCCAAAUUGAGCUCUACGAUCUGUCCAAAUUUCAGCUCUCUAGGCCUUACGGUUUGGGCUGCACGUUCAGUUUUAGGGCAGAAGAAUAAUAAUAAUAAUAAUAAUAAUAAUAAUAAUAAUAAUAAUAAUAAAAAUCCUAACAAAUACAAUAGGGUUUCAGCACUGCGUGCUUGAACCCCUAAUAAUAAUAAUUAAAGCUGCAAGCAGCAUUUUACCGGGGUUCAAGCAUUUAAGGCAUCUGAGGUGGUCAGAGCCAACCUGGAUGUUUGGAUGACAUUUAAACACAUCCAAAAUGGAGAACAGGUUAACAGACAGACACACACACUGAAAGUAAAUGAUUAGACUAAUAUAUGUAUACUCUAUAAGCAUAUGCACACACACACACACACACACAAAGACACACAUAUACAUGCACAAACAUUUUGUUGCAGAUAUAGGUAUUUGAAAUAAGUGAUAGGUGACAUAAAAUUAUUGCAAGUCUUCUCUUUUUCAGAGUUUAGAUGUCAUUUUCAGGUUAAACUGUAAUCAUAAUGUGGCAAAAUUGUAAAAACUGAUACAUCUGUAUAAACAAAAUGGAAAACAUCAAUUCAAUGAGAUUUAAAAUGUUAUAACAGUUAAUUUAUUAAUGUUUUGGCAUGAAUUCAUGAAAACAGUACUGUUUAACUAGCUGAAUGAGCCCAUUAGUGGUCUUCCGCUGCCAUCUAGUGGUUAUAAAUUGCAUUUACUCAAACAACACUGUGUUUUAAAACAUAACUGUUAUAGUGUUGUAAUUUUUUUUUGCCCAAUCUCUCUUAAAUUUUGCAUGCUUGUUUAGAAUGAAAUUAUGCAUUGUUU